UAUUUCUGCCAUAUGACCUGUAAUUUAGACCACGUUAUCCCUCUGAAGCAAAGCAGGUUUGGGCCUGGCCCAUACUUGGAUGGAAGACCAAACAGGAAACCUGGGCUGCUACGGAAAAAU
rnacentral:rRNA from 1 species